rnacentral:tRNA from 1 species
GCCUUCGUAGUGUAGUGGUCAGCACGCUCGACGCGUAUUCGAGAAGUUCGUGGUUCGAAUCCCGGUAAGAGCA